GGAUUCCCCUAGUAACUGCGAGUGAAGCGGGAAAAGCUCAAAUUUAAAAUCUGGCGGUUAUGCCGUCCGAGUUGUAAUCUGGAGAAGCGUUUUCCGUGUUGGACCGUGUACAAGUCUCUUGGAACAGAGCGUCAUAGAGGGUGAGAAUCCCGUCUUUGACACGGACUACCAAUGCUUUGUGAUACGCUCUCAAAGAGUCGAGUUGUUUGGGAAUGCAGCUCAAAAUGGGUGGUAAAUGCCAUCUAAAGCUAAAUAUUGGCGAGAGACCGAUAGCGAACAAGUACCGUGAGGGAAAGAUGAAAAGCACUUUGGAAAGAGAGUUAAACAGUACGUGAAAUUGUUGAAAGGGAAACGCUUGAAGUCAGUCGCGUUGUCUGGGACUCAGCCUUGCUUCUGCAUGGUGUACUUCCUGGUUAACGGGCCAACAUCGAUUUUGGUCGGUGGAUAAAGUCAGGAGGAAUGUGGCACCCUCGGGUGUGUUAUAGCCUCUUGUCGCAUGCAUCGACUGGGAUCGAGGAUCGCAGCACGCCUUUUUGGCCGGGGUUCGCCCACGUAACGUGCUUAGGAUGUUGGCAUAAUGGCUUUAAUCGACCCGUCUUGAAACACGGACCAAGGAGUCUAACAUGCCCGCGAGUGUUAGGGUGGAAAACCCUUGCGCGUAAUGAAAGUGAAAGUUGGGACCUCUGUCAUGGGGGGCACCGACGCCCGGCCCUGAGCUUUUGUGACGGCGCCGCGGUAGAGCGUGUAUGUUGGGACCCGAAAGAUGGUGAACUAUGCCUGAAUAGGGCGAAGCCAGAGGAAACUCUGGUGGAGGCUCGUAGCGAUUCUGACGUGCAAAUCGAUCGUCAAAUUUGGGUAUAGGGGCGAAAGAC
rnacentral:rRNA from 1 species